CCUACGUGAGGCAGCAGUGGGGGAUAUUGGACAAUGGGGGGAACCCUGAUCCAGCGACGCCGCGUGAGUGAAGAAGUAUCUCGGUAUGUAAAGCUCUAUCAGCAGGGAAGAAGAAAUGACGGUACCUGAGUAAGAAGCCCCGGCUAACUACGUGCCAGCAGCCGCGGGAAUACGUAGGGGGCAAGCGUUAUCCGGAAUUACUGGGUGUAAAGGGAGCGUAGACGGUGGGGCACGUCUGGAGUGAAAGGCCGGGGCCCAACCCCGGGACCGCUCUGGAAACUGCCCGGCUGGAGUGCGGGAGAGGUAAGCGGAAUUCCUAGUGUAGCGGUGAAAUGCGUAGAUAUUAGGAGGAACACCAGCGGCGAAGGCGGCUUACUGGACCGUGACUGACGUUGAGGCUCGAAAGCGUGGGGAGCAAACAGGAUUAGAUACCCCUGUAGUC
rnacentral:rRNA from 1 species